UUCUCUUCAUUCUGGGGGUUCUGACGGGCUCCAGGAAGGUCUGUGUAUGUCUUGUUUUUGUAUUUGUAUUCCUAGAAUUUGGUACCUUAUUUGGUAUAUGUUAAACUGCUUCAUAGAUGUAAUUCAUUCAUUUAAGUAGAGGCAAACCAGUAAAAAAAUCAGGAAAUGGCCAAACUUUAGAAUGACAGGGCUGCAAACAAACGAACCUGUUGAGUGUGUUUCUAUUCUCCUUCUAGUGGCUUUUAGGAAACAUGCUCUGACCUCAGAAGGGGAACAGCAUCUCCAAGAACCAGAUGAAAAAAAGAGGAAGUCCCCAUCUUGGGUUUAAAGCACAAGUUUGGAGUGUCACCAAAAGCUGAUGUUACAAAGAUCCAUUUCAUUGGGGAAGAAGAGCACUUGAUCCAGCAAACAUAUUUUCUCUCUCCAUCCUUUGGAUAGCAAACACAUCAACAUUAUAUGUUAUUGACUGCUGCUUCCCUAGCCCUUGAUCUGCUGCAACCUGGCUCUGACAUGACUUCUACUGAAAAUGGAUCUUUAAAACUUACCAACCCAGCUAACCUUGCAAGCAUGUCCAUUUGGAAGAUAUUCUAUUGUUCCAUUUUGGCGGCUUGAACUGUUUUUCUAUAAUCAGGUAAGAUAUGAGGUGAGGAAGUUUCAGUGAAUAGCUAGGACUGGCUUCCCAUUCUUGGACGCACCAAGGAGCCUCUCUGGAGCUUGUCUUUCUGGUUCCUACCACUGAACCAUAGCCACGUGUGGCAUCACUGAUUCUAUCUUGCCUGGUUUUCUAGCCACAGGAUUGUCAGUCUAAUCCCUCAGGAGAUGAGGAAACCAAAGAGACAAUGGGACAUCCAAAAUCACAUAGACUUUGAGCAAAAGGAUCUUUAACUGAGUAGGUUUUCCCAUCAUGCCAUGCUGUUACCUGUUAUAGCUUUUCUAGCUUAUCCCACACCUCUCUGAUCUGCCCUUCUUCUGGGUCAAGAACAUGAAAUAAAAGCCUAAAAACUUGUGAAAUCA
rnacentral:lncRNA from 1 species